AUGAGCCUUGGGCUAGUUUCUUCCCUCUUUCCCCUCCCCUUUCCCCUCCCCUUUUCCUUUCCCCUCCCUUUCCCCCCCUCUUUUCCACUUCUCCUUUCCACUACUCCUUUCCCCUCCUCUUUCCCCCUUCCCCUUUCCCCUCCCCUUUACCCCUUUCCCCUCCCCUUUCCCCCCCUCUUUUCCACUUUCUCCUUUCCACUACUCCUUUCCCCUCCUCUUUCCCCCUUCCCCUUUCCCUCCUCCUUUCCUCUCCCCCUUUCCCCUCCCCUUUACCCCUUUCCCCUCCCCUUUCCCCCCCCCUUUUCCACUUCUCCUUUCCACUACUCCUUUCCCCUCCCCUUUCCCCUCUCCUUUACCCCUUUCCCCUCCCCUUUCCCCCCUCUUUUCCACUUCUCCUUUCCACUACUCCUUUCCCCUCCCCUUUCCCCUCCCCCUUUCCCCUCCCCUUUCCCCCCUCUUUUCCACUUCUCCUUUCCACUACUCCUUUCCCCUCCCCUUUCCUCUCCCCCUUUCCCCUCCUCCUUUCGCCUCCCCUUUCCUCUCCCCCUUUCCCCUCCUCCUUUCCCCUCCCCUUUCCUCUCCCCCUUUCCCCUCCUCCUUUCUCCUACCCUUUCCUCUCCCCCUUUCCCCUCCUCCUUUCGCCUCCCCUUUCCUCUCCCCCUUUCCCCUCCUCCUUUCGCCUCCCCUUUCCUCUCCCCCUUUCCCCUCCUCCUUUCUCCUACCCUUUCCUCUCCCCCUUUCCCCUUUCCCCUCCUCGAUUCCAACCCCCCAUUUCCCCUCCCCUUUCCCCUCCUCCUUUCGCCUCCCCUUUCCUCUCCCCCUUUCCCCUCCUCCUUUCGCCUCCCCUUUCCUCUCCCCCUUUCCCCUCCUCCUUUCUCCUACCCUUUCCUCUCCCCCUUUCCCCUCCUCCUUCUCCUACCCUUUCCUCUCCCCCUUUCCCCUCCUCCUUUCGCCUCCCCUUUCCUCUCCCCCUUUCCCCUCCUCCUUUCGCCUCCCCUUUCCUCUCCCCCUUUCCCCUCCUCCUUUCUCCUACCCUUUCCUCUCCCCCUUUCCCCUUUCCCCUCCUCGAUUCCAACUCCCCCUUUUCCCUCCCCUUUCCCCUCUCCCUUUCCCUCCCCCUUUCCCCUCCUCCUUUCCCCUCCCCUUUCCCCUCCCCCUUUCCACUCCUCCUUUCCC
rnacentral:lncRNA from 1 species